AAAGCCCGGGGCUCAACCUCGGAACCGCAUUUGAAACUGGCAGGCUAGAGUCUUGUAGAGGGGGGUAGAAUUUCAGGUGUAGCGGUGAAAUGCGUAGAGAUCUGAAGGAAUACCGGUGGCGAAGGCGGCCCCCUGGACAAAGACUGACGCUCAGAUGCGAAAGCGUGGGUAGCAAACAGGAUUAGAUACCCUGGUAGUCCACGCCGUAAACGCUGUCUACUUGGAGGUUGAGGUUUAAGACUUUGGCUUUCGGCGCUAACGCAUUAAGUAGACCGCCUGGGGAGUACGGCCGCAAGGUUAAAACUCAAAUGAAUUGACGGGGGCCCGCACAAGCGGUGGAGCAUGUGGUUUAAUUCGAUGCAACGCGAAGAACCUUACCUACUCUUGACAUCCAGUGAACUUUCCAGAGAUGGAUUGGUGCCUUCGGGAACACUGAGACAGGUGCUGCAUGGCUGUCGUCAGCUCGUGUUGUGAAAUGUUGGGUUAAGUCCCGCAACGAGCGCAACCCUUAUCCUUGUUUGCCAGCACAUAAUGGUGGGAACUCCAGGGAGACUGCCGGUGAUAAACCGGAGGAAGGUGGGGACGACGUCAAGUCAUCAUGGCCCUUACGAGUAGGGCUACACACGUGCUACAAUGGCAGAUACAGAGGGCAGCGAAGCUGCGAAGUGGAGCGAAUCCCUUAAAGUCUGUCGUAGUCCGGAUUGGAGUCUGCAACUCGACUCCAUGAAGUCGGAAUCGCUAGUAAUCGUGGAUCAGAAUGCCACGGUGAAUACGUUCCCGGGCCUUGUACACACCGCCCGU
rnacentral:rRNA from 1 species